AAUAUGCUAAUGAUGGCAAAAGUGCUUUAGUUUUAGUUGUCAAAAUAACCAAUUUACUUGAAUGUCUCUACAAAUUUCUAAUGUUCGUGUGUAAUUUUAUGCUGCAUUAUUUGUCAGUUUAUUGUUUUGUUUUCGUUUUGGAUUAAUUAACCCCAUUAAUAUGCCAUAAUUUAUUGGAUUUUUAUGGCGCGCGCUAUGUUAAUUAAAUGCACAGCAAAAUACAAGGUACAAUUCGUAACGCAGCACGCAUUAAUAUCAUCAAAAUUCCUAUAGCUCUGUAAUUUUAUGAUCGUGUAUUAAUUUGCUUUUAAUUACAAAAGUGUGUGUGUGUAUGCCCAACUAUGUGAGUGAGUGAGUAUGUGUAAUGGAAUGAUAAAUGAAAUGAUUAAUGAAGGGGCAGCUGCUGCUGCUGUUGGCUGGCGCACAAAAGUAUGCUACACUUUUUGCAACAAUGGAAAAGAAUCAAAUCAAAUGGCAUUUGUAUGGAGCUGAUUUUAUUCAAUUCCCCGCAGUGAGCAGGGAGCCUAACAUAUUGGUCAUCAUCGGAUGACAGGGACAAAGGAUGAGCGGACCACACACACACAUACACAGGCACACACAUCAAUGCAAUCAAUUACGCAGUGCAUCGCCUUUCAAGCAGGCUGGAUGAAUGCCAAUACCGAAUGGCAGCGUCGUGCUGUAGCGCUUGCCAGCAAAGUAGGCGACUGAUGAGCCUGAUGGACAUGUGUGUGUGUGUGGGCAGGUGCUGUUGUUGUGCAUGCAAGCCGCAAACAGCAGCAUUUCAUUUACGCGAGCCUUUUCAACCCCAGAGAAGCCCUCCGUGACAGCAGGCCAAGCUGCUGGCUGGGCAGUUCGUGUGGCAAGUGACGAGCGUGGAAGCAUUCAACGUUGCUCUUUGUGUCAACGGUGAACAAAGAAAAAUGAGCGACAAGUCAAAUUGAAGGGCCUCCGAGUGUCCUUUGAGUCAAGCUCGUGUGCGCUGACUGUCUGGGCUGUCUGUUUGUGUCUCCUGCAUUAGCCUGGCAUCGACACUUGAUUUAUGCAUUGACGCAGCACACAUCACGUGGUCAGCUUUAAACCAACCAAGAGAAAGUGAGUGAGAGAGAUUGAGGAAAUGACACAGAAACUGUGCUGGUCUCUCCAUUUUCCCCCCUUCUAUUUGCUGUUGCUACUUCUGUUUCGUCUGCUAUUUGCAUAUUACUCGUACUUAUUUUCGUGUAAACAAAAAAAGUUGAGUUUGCUUUUGCCACUUCUGUUUACUCGAGCGCUGCCAAUGGCAUUAUUUUAAAUUGUUUUUUAAAUGGCCAACAAACAAGCACUGAAGAAUUGAAAGUGAAUUGUCUGCCGCAGCUCAAAACAAAAAAAAAGGGGCA